AUCCUGUGUUGAGGAUACUUUCUCAGUAAUCCCUUGUAACGUUCCCAUCCUUCAUACAAGGUUUCAGACUCCAUUUGUCUGAAUGAUGAUAUGCCAUUUCUGAGCUU